GUACUUUCAGCGGGGAGGAAGGGAGUAAAGUUAAUACCUUUGCUCAUUGACGUUACCCGCAGAAGAAGCACCGGCUAACUCCGUGCCAGCAGCCGCGGUAAUACGGAGGGUGCAAGCGUUAAUCGGAAUUACUGGGCGUAAAGCGCACGCAGGCGGUUUGUUAAGUCAGAUGUGAAAUCCCCGGGCUCAACCUGGGAACUGCAUCUGAUACUGGCAAGCUUGAGUCUCGUAGAGGGGGGUAGAAUUCCAGGUGUAGCGGUGAAAUGCGUAGAGAUCUGGAGGAAUACCGGUGGCGAAGGCGGCCCCCUGGACGAAGACUGACGCUCAGGUGCGAAAGCGUG
rnacentral:rRNA from 1 species